rnacentral:rRNA from 1 species
AACGAACGCUGGCGGCAUGCCUAACACAUGCAAGUCGAACGAGACCUUCGGGUCUAGUGGCGCACGGGUGCGUAACGCGUGGGAACCUGCCCUUAGGUUCGGAAUAACUCCCCGAAAGGGGUGCUAAUACCGGAUAAUGUCUUCGGACCAAAGAUUUAUCGCCUUUGGAUGGGCCCGCGUUGGAUUAGCUAGUUGGUAGGGUAAAAGCCUACCAAGGCGACGAUCCAUAGCUGGUCUGAGAGGAUGAUCAGCCACACUGGGACUGAGACACGGCCCAGACUCCUACGGGAGGCAGCAGUGGGGAAUAUUGGACAAUGGGCGAAAGCCUGAUCCAGCAAUGCCGCGUGAGUGAUGAAGGCCUUAGGGUUGUAAAGCUCUUUUACCCGGGACGAUAAUGACAGUACCGGGAGAAUAAGCUCCGGCUAACUUCGUG